rnacentral:rRNA from 1 species
CGAUACCUCCUGGUGUGGUGAAUUGCAGAAUCCCGUGAGAACCAUCGAGUCUUUGAACGCAAGUUGCGCUCGCGACCACUCGGCCGAGGGCACGCCUUCCUGGGCGUCA